rnacentral:rRNA from 1 species
GACGAACGCUGGCGGCGUGCUUAACACAUGCAAGUCGAGCGGUAAGGCCCUUUCGGGGGUACACGAGCGGCGAACGGGUGAGUAACACGUGGGUGACCUGCCCUCAGCUCUGGGAUAAGCCUGGGAAACCGGGUCUAAUACUGGAUAUGACCCCAUGACGCAUGUUGUGGGGUGGAAAGCCUUGUGCGGCUGAGGAUGGGCCCGCGGCCUAUCAGCUUGUUGGUGGGGUGAUGGCCUACCAAGGCGACGACGGGUAGCCGGCCUGAGAGGGCGACCGGCCACACUGGGACUGAGACACGGCCCAGACUCCUACGGGAGGCAGCAGUGGGGAAUCUUGCGCAAUGGGCGAAAGCCUGACGCAGCGACGCCGCGUGAGGGAUGACGGCCUGG